rnacentral:miRNA from 14 species
GGUUUCCCUGUGUAGCCUUGGCUGUCCUGGAACUCACUCUGUAGACCAGGCUGGCCUUGAACUCAGAGAUCCACCUACCUCUGCCUCCCAAGUGCUGGGAUUAAAGGCAUGCACCAC